GGUUAUAUAAAUAAUAUAAAUAAAUUUUAUUAAUAAAAGAAAAAUGUAUCAUUAAUUAUUUUGAGUGUUAUAUUAUUAGGUGAAAUUUUAAUAUAUAGACAAACAUAUAGUUUAUUUUUUGAUUCUUGUAAAUUUUAUAAAAAACUAGGAUUAGAUACCCUAUUAUAAAAAUUAAAAUUUGUAUAUUGAAGUAGUAAUAGUUAAGUUCUUGAAAUUUAAAAAAUUUGGCGGUAUUUUAGUCUAUUCAGAGGAACCUGUUUAGUAAUCGAUAGUCCACGAUGGAUCUUACUUAGACUUGUAGAUUAGCUUAUAUAUCGUUGUUUAUAGAAUAUUUUAUAAAAAAAAUAAUUUUCAAGAUUUUGGAUUAAAAUGUAUAUCAGAUCAAGAUGUAGCUUAUGUUUAAGAUAAAAAUGGGUUACAAUUACGUUAGAUAUUGGAUAUUGUGCUGUAAUAAACAAUUGAAAUUGGAUUUGAUAGUAAAUUUAUAAAGAUAAAUAAUUUGAUUUUAGCUCUAAAAUAUGCACAUAUCGCCCGUCGCUCUUAUUUUAGUUAAGAUAAGUCGUAACAUAGUAGAUGUACUGGAAAGUGUAUCUAGAAUGAC
rnacentral:rRNA from 1 species